UACAGAGGGUGCGAGCGUUAAUCGGAAUUACUGGGCGUAAAGCGUGCGUAGACGGUUAUUUAAGUCGGGUGUGAAAGCCCCGGGCUCAACCUGGGAAUUGCAUUCGAGACUGAAUAGCUAGGGUACGGUAGAGGGAAGUGGAAUUUCCGGUGUAGCGGUGAAAUGCGUAGAUAUCAGGAAGAACACCCGUGGCGAAAGCGGCUCUCUGGAACGGUACUGACGCUGAGACGCGAAAGCGUGGGGAGCGAACAGG
rnacentral:rRNA from 1 species